GACGAACGCUGGCGGCGUGCUUAACACAUGCAAGUCGUACGGUAAGGCCCUUUCGGGGGUACACGAGUGGCGAACGGGUGCGUAACACGUGAGUAACCUGCCCACAACUUUGGGAUAACGCUAGGAAACUGGUGCUAAUACUGGAUAUGUGCUCCUGCUGCAUGGUGGGGGUUGGAAAGCUCCGGCGGUUGUGGAUUGACUCGCGGCCUAUCAGCUUGUUGGUGGGGUAGUGGCCUACCAAGGCGGCGACGGGUAGCCGGCCUGAGAGGGUGACCGGCCACAUUGGGACUGAGAUACGGCCCAGACUCCUACGGGAGGCAGCAGUGGGGAAUAUUGCACAAUGGGCGCAAGCCUGAUGCAGCAACGCCGCGUGCGGGAUGACGGCCUUCGGGUUGUAAACCGCUUUCAGCAGGGACGAAGCUUUUUGUGACGGUACCUGCAGAAGAAGCACCGGCUAACUACGUG
rnacentral:rRNA from 1 species